GACGAACGCUGGCGGCGUGCUUAACACAUGCAAGUCGAACGGAAAGGCCCUGCUUUUGUGGGGUGCUCGAGUGGCGAACGGAUGAGUAACACGUGAGUAACCUGCCCUUGACUUUGGGAUAACUUCAGGAAACUGGGGCUAAUACCGGAUAGGAGCUCCUGCUGCAUGGUGGGGGUUGGAAAGUUUCGGCGGUUGGGGAUGGACUCGCGGCUUAUCAGCUUGUUGGUGGGGUAGUGGCUUACCAAGGCUUUGACGGGUAGCCGGCCUGAGAGGGUGACCGGCCACAUUGGGACUGAGAGACGGCCCAGACUCCUACGGGAGGCAGCAGUGGGGAAUAGUGCACAAUGGGCGGAAGCCUGAUGCAGCAACGCCGCGUGCGGGAUGACGGCCUUCGGGUUGUAAACCGCUUUCGCCUGGGACGAAGCGUGAGUGACGGUAAUGAGUAAAGAAGCACCGGCUAACUACGUG
rnacentral:rRNA from 1 species